rnacentral:rRNA from 1 species
AUUGAACGCUGGCGGCAUGCCUUACACAUGCAAGUCGAACGGCAGCACGGGUGCUUGCACCUGGUGGCGAGUGGCGAACGGGUGAGUAAUACAUCGGAACAUGUCCUGUAGUGGGGGAUAGCCCGGCGAAAGCCGGAUUAAUACCGCAUACGAUCUACGGAUGAAAGCGGGGGACCUUCGGGCCUCGCGCUAUAGGGUUGGCCGAUGGCUGAUUGGCUAGUUUGGGGGGUAAAGGCCUACCCAGGCGGCGAUCAGUAGCUGGUGUGUGAGGGGGACAGGCGACACGGGGGGUGGAACGGGGCCAAGAGGCCUAAGGGAGGGAGCAGUGGGGAAUUUGGGACAGUGGGCGAAAGCCUUAUCCAACAGUGCGGCGUGUGAGAAGAAGGCGUUGGGGUUGUAAAGCACUUUUGUCCGGAAAGAAAUCCUUGGCCCUAUGACGGUGGGGGGAUGACGGUACCGGAAGAAUAAGCACCGGCUAACUACGUG